CCCUGCAGCCAAGAGUGUGCCAAUGUGUAUGGCUCUUACCAGUGUUACUGUCGCCGGGGCUACCAGCUCAGUGACGUGGAUGGAAUCACAUGUGAAGAUAUCGAUGAGUGCGCCCUGCCCACGGGAGGACAUAUAUGCUCCUAUCGGUGCAUCAAUGUACCCGGGAGCUUCCAGUGCAACUGCCCAUCGACAGGCUACAGGCUGGCAGCCAAUGGACGAAGCUGUCAAGAUAUCGAUGAGUGUGCCGCAGGGACCCACAACUGCUCCAUCAAUGCCACCUGCUUCAACAUUCAGGGCAGCUUCCGCUGUCUCUCCUUUGACUGCCCAGAGAAUUAUCGCAGAUCAGG